UGGGGAAUAUUGGACAAUGGGCGCAAGCCUGAUCCAGCAAUGCCGCGUGUGUGAAGAAGGCCCUCGGGUUGUAAAGCACUUUUAUCAGGAGCGAAAUCUGCAAGGUUAAUACCUUUGCAGUCUGACGGUACCUGAGGAAUAAGCACCGGCUAACUCCGUGCCAGCAGCCGCGGUAAUACGGAGGGUGCAAGCGUUAAUCGGAAUUACUGGGCGUAAAGCGUGCGUAGGCGGUUCGUUAAGUCUGCUGUGAAAGCCCCGGGCUCAACCUGGGAAUGGCAGUGGAUACUGGCGAGCUAGAGUGUGAUAGAGGAUGGUGGAAUUCCCGGUGUAGCGGUGAAAUGCGUAGAGAUCGGGAGGAACAUCAGUGGCGAAGGCGGCCAUCUGGAUCAACACUGACGCU
rnacentral:rRNA from 1 species